UCAUAUUACAUUAAUAUGCAGUGUAAGAAGAUAACAGGUAUCAGAGGGUAACACUUUACAAUAAGGUCUCAUUUAAUAACAGUUAAAGCAUUAACUAACAGUGAGCAAUACAUUUAUUUAUUCAUGCAGUGUCUGUCCCAUAAUGUUCUGUUUUUCUUUCAUUUUUAAUUUUAAUUGUAUUUUUCCUCAUAACAGGUCUGAUGACAGUCACAAAAAAACAGAAAGUGACACCACGAUGUCUAUGGAAAGUAGAAGACUAUUCAGAACAUGUCCCACUCUCUGUUAAAAGAAGGGUGAUAUACUGUAUGCUUGUCAGCACGGAAAGAACUACAAGAAGACAACCACAACAGAUGAUUUGCAAACUGAACAUGAAUACACAAGAAGAAAAAGGUUCCAUGUGGAUUGUCCAGCAAAACUUUAUGUCUGAUAUGUAGAAAGGACAUGGCAUCAGAGGUGAAGGAUAUUCUGGCACUACAAGACCCAAACCUGGUGAUCAGCAAAGCCUUCAAACUGUGUAUUACACAGGGUGACUCGGCCACACUGAAGGAGGGUUGCUGGCUUAAUGACAAAAGUUAGAAAAAUUAAUGGAUUAUUUACUUGAUAUGCCUUGGUUUAUUGGGAAUAAUGCAUCACUACAUUUUUGUAAAGAAAAUGGGGGAAUAAAGGUUUGUCCUCAAUAUUUUAUAAAAAUUUGUAUAAAAAUGAAUAAAUUGAUUCUGCACUGCACAUUAAGGCUGGGUAUUGACACAAAUUUAACAACCAAUUUGAUGCCAAUAGUAUGAAGUAAUCAGACAAUUGUUGAUCAUAAAGCACUAAUGCUGGAUGUCACCAAUGUCAUGCAUUCUUAAUGAGUAUUUUCCCCUCUUCUCUUUUCAAGGUUAUCAACUUUUUUCCUUGCUAAUGAACAGAUCAGCUGGGAGCCUUAAAGUCUUCUCUUACAGCACCUUUUUCUACCCAAAGCUUCAGAGUGGUGAAGGCCAUGCAGCAGUGAAGAACUGGACAAAAUCUCAGGAUCUCUUCAUCUUGGAUCUUAUAUUUGUUCCUUUGCACCUAGGCAUGCACUGGGCUUUGGCCGUAAGUCAUAUAUAAUAAGUUGGGAUGCAUUGUUUUAAUAUUUAUGUCUUUGAAAAGUGUAAAACAAUAUUUUUGAUUUUCAGUUUGUCUUUAACUUGCCUAUAUUGCUUCUAACCACCAGCUAAUUGAUUUUAAAUCCCAGGCCAUACAGUGAAACAACCACAAAGUCAAUCAUCGACCUCCGACCUAGGGUGUCCUGGUGCCACGUGUACUGAUGGACACCCUUAUGCUUGAACAUGGUGUUCGUUAUGGACAAACUGUGACUAGCACAGAAGUCCAAAAACAGAACACCACUCGGGUUCAGGUCGACUGAGCUGGGGGACUAUAAGCAUGGUGAGUGAGCUGAGGGGCUAUAAGCAUGCCCACACCAGCCCGCCUCCUCUCACCACGGGCAACUCCAGAGUAGUAGAGAGUCCAGCCUCUCUCGAGGACUCGGGUUCCAGAGCCCAAGCUGUGCGUGGAGGUGAGCUCAACUAUCUCUAAUCGGUAUCUCUCAGCCUCCUGCACCAGCUCAGGCUCCUUCCCCCCAGCGAGGUGACAUUCCAUGUCCUAGAGCAAGAUUACGUGUCCGGGGAUUGUGUUGCCAAGGCCCCUGCCUUCGACUGCCACACAAUCCACAAUGCACCGACCCCUUACGGUUCCACCUAGGACCUGUUUGCCUUGGGAGACCCUACCAGGGGCAAAAAGCCCCAGAUAACAUAGCUUCUAGGAUCAUUCAGGCUCGCAAUUUGACAUGAAACACCUGAGAUCAGAACAGGUAUUUUAUUAAUAUGAAUGUCACGAAACACUGCAGAAAGGUUAUGUAAAGUUAUAACAGAAUGAAUAUAAUUUUUAAAAAAAUACCCACCAUCGCGGACAAGUAACGUUAUCUGAAGCAAUUUAUGCAAACAGCUUUCCUCCAGAUCUAUGCAAAUUAUCAAAUAGGCCACACCUCCCCUAUGACGCAAUAUAUGUUACGCUGUCCUGAAAUCAGUGAAAAUAAGUGCCUGCCUACUGAGAACCGAUGAGCUGUUGUUACUGCACAUGCAUAAUUCACUGAACUGAUACA